rnacentral:lncRNA from 1 species
ACACCUUGUCCUUACAUGGUAUAGGUGGAAGACCAAGGGAAAUGAAUGCUACAGGAAGCCUCUUUCUUUCUUUCUCUUUCUUUCUUUCUUUCUUUCUUACUUUCUUUCUUUCUUUCUUUCUUUUUUCAAGAUGGAAUCUUGCUCUGUUGCCCAGGCUGGAGUACAGUGGCUUGACCUCGGCUCACUGCAACCUCCAGCUCCCAGGUUUUUAAUAUAUUAUAAUAUAUUAAAUAUUAGUUAAUAUAUUAAAUAACAUUAAUAAUACUAAUUAUAUUAGUUAUACUAAUAAUAUUAGCUAAUUAGUUAAUAAUUAGUUAAUAAUUAACUAAUUAUAUAUAAUAAUAUAUAAUAAUAUAUAAUUAGUUAAUAAUUAGUUACUUAUUAGUUAUUAUACUAUUAAUGUUAGUUAAUAAUAGAUGAGUUAAUAUUAUAUUAUUAAUACAUAGGAAUAGAUGAGUUAGAUUACAUAAAUGAUAGAGAUAGGUAGAUAAAUAUAUAACAGAUAUAUAGGGAGAUAACUGGAUAGAUGCAUAGAUGAUAGCUAGAUAGGCAGAUAGUACAGGGAUGAUAGGUAGAUAGAUACAGGAA